UGGGGAAUUUUGGACAAUGGGCGCAAGCCUGAUCCAGCCAUGCCGCGUGUCUGAAGAAGGCCUUCGGGUUGUAAAGGACUUUUGUCAGGGAAGAAAAGGAUAGGGUUAAUACCCCUGUCUGAUGACGGUACCUGAAGAAUAAGCACCGGCUAACUACGUGCCAGCAGCCGCGGUAAUACGUAGGGUGCGAGCGUUAAUCGGAAUUACUGGGCGUAAAGCGGGCGCAGACGGUUACUUAAGCAGGAUGUGAAAUCCCCGGGCUCAACCUGGGAACUGCGUUCUGAACUGGGUGACUAGAGUGUGUCAGAGGGAGGUAGAAUUCCACGUGUAGCAGUGAAAUGCGUAGAGAUGUGGAGGAAUACCGAUGGCGAAGGCAGCCUCCUGGGAUAACACUGACGUUCAUGCCCGAAAGCGUGGGUAGCAAACAGGAUUAGAUACCCUGGUAGUCCACGCCCUAAACGAUGUCGAUUAGCUGUUGGGCAGCUUGACUGCUUAGUAGCGAAGCUAAACGCGUGAAAUCGACCGCCUGGGGAGUACGGUCGCAAGAUUA
rnacentral:rRNA from 1 species